rnacentral:rRNA from 1 species
GUGAAAUGCGUAGAUAUCUGGAAGAACACCGAAGGCGAAGGCAGUGUCCUGGCUCGGAACUGACGCUCAGGUGCGAAAGCGAGGGGAGCAAACAGGAUUAGAUACCUGGUAGUCCUCGCGGUAAACGAUGACCACUAGAUGUGGGAGGGCUCGACCCCUUCCGUAUCGCAGUUAACACAAUAAGUGGUCCGCCUGGGGAGUACGAUCGCAAGAUUAAAACUCAAGGGAAUUGACGGGGACCCGCACAAGCAGCGGAGCGUGUGGUUUAAUUCGAUGCGACGCGCAGAACCUUACCAGGAUUUGACAUGUCGAGGCACCAGCCAGAGAUGGCUGUCCGAGCAAUCGGCCUCGACACAGGUGCUGCAUGGCUGUCGUCAGCUCGUGCCGUGAGGUGUUGGGUUAAGUCCCCCAACGAGCGCAACCCUUGUCGUCGGUUGAAACUGUCCGGCGAGACCGCCACCACACAGUGGAGGAAGAUGGGGAUGACGUCAAGUCAGCACGGCCCUUACAUCCUGGGCGACACACACGCCACAAUGGCUGGCACAAACGGUGGCCAACCCGCGAGGGGGAGCUAAUCCAAGCAAAGCCAGUCUCAGUUCGGAUGGUAGGCUGCAACCCGCCUGCCUGAAGCCGGAGUUGCUAGUAACCGUGGGUCAGCACACCACGGUGAAUACGUUCCCGGGUCUUGUACACACCGCCCGUCACACCACGAAAGUCGGCAGCACUUGAAGCCGCCGGGCUAACCCUUCUUCGGAAGGGAGGCAGGCGUCCAGGGUGAGGUCGGUGUUUGGGGUGAAGUCGUAACAAGGUAACCGU